rnacentral:rRNA from 1 species
UACGAAGGGGGCUAGCGUUGUUCGGAAUUACUGGGCGUAAAGCGUAGGUAGGUGGUUUUCUAAGUCAGGGGUGAAAUCCCAGAGCUUAACUCUGGAAUUGCCUUUGAAACUGGAUGACUAGAGGAAGUUAGAGGCAAGUGGAAUUCCUAGUGUAGGAGUGAAAUCCGUAGAUAUUAGGAGGAACAUCAAUGGCGAAGGCAGCUUGCUGGGACUUUUCUGACACUGAGCUACGAAAGCGUGGGGAGCAAACAGG